rnacentral:lncRNA from 1 species
AAUGGCACUAAAAGUGUGUUAAUAACGAGCGUCAAUAUUGCCCAAACCAAACCCCAAAUAUCGUCCAGGCAUAGCCAUUAUGCUGCUUGCCCAAAACCUCAAGUCUCAUCUAGACCUAGCCGUUAUACUGCUCGACUAAAACCCUAAGUAUCAACCGAGCCUAGCCAUAUUGCCGCUCAACCUAAAUCUCAAAUAUCGUCCAAACCUAGCCGUUGUGCCACCCGACCAAAACCUUAAACAACCCAAGGGAAUUAAUCAUAAAAAUUCCCAAGAAUUUUCUGAAUAUCCAGCCACCCAACCCAUUAAUUAUUUAGAAACCGAUCUCCAAAUAAUUAAUGAAUUAACCCUCCUUUACCUGGGAAUUCACCUUUCAUUAUCAGGUAAUUCCCAGAAUACUCAUCCUUUUUCUUUCUUUUCAUUUUUUAGGAAUUGCUUGGUGUAUUAUUUUAUUGAUUGUCGUUUUGUAUGCUUUCGCCAGUCGGUAGACGACUAGGCUCUGCCCAAACCUGAGGAUCCAGAAGGCAUGAAUCCAAGAACCCUGGUCACCCUAGGAGACAUUAAGGAUUUUCGAUGAAGGCAAGUCCCGACUCCUAGUUUAUGUUUUAUCCUACUGAGCGCGAGAGCAAUAAAUAUUGCCAACCUAAUACGGACUGCAUUGUUUUCUUUUAAGAACUAUUUCUUUAGAAAUACAUGCUUACUAGAUCAACCCUUUUUGCUAUUGAAAUGCCACAGGCCAAACUGUCCUAGGAAAACUACCUUCCCUCCAACCCUCCCUAUAAUAGAUAUGCUAGACAAGUUGAGUCAUGCCCCGUAAAUAGGGAUAAAACAUGGUUGGAUCCUCUACGGGGAGGAUCUAGCACCCCACCAUAAAAUUUGUAUUUCU